rnacentral:rRNA from 1 species
AACGAACGCUGGCGGCAGGCUUAACACAUGCAAGUCGAACGAGAUCUUCGGAUCUAGUGGCAGACGGGUGAGGAACACGUGGGAACAUCCCUUUCAGUUCGGAAUAACGUUGGGAAACUAACGCUAAUACCGGAUACGUCCUUCGGGAGAAAGAUUUAUCGCUGAAAGAUUGGCCCGCGUCUGAUUAGCUAGUUGGUGAGGUAAUGGCUCACCAAGGCUACGAUCAGUAGCUGAUCUGAGAGGAUGAUCAGCCACAUUGGGACUGAGACACGGCCCAAACUACUACGGGAGGCAGCAGUGGGGAAUAUUGGACAAUGGGCGCAAGCCUGAUCCAGCCAUGCCGCGUGAGUGAUGACGGCCUUCGGGUUGUAAAGCUCUUUUGUCCGGGAAGAUAACGACUGUACCGGAAGAAUAAGCCCCGGCAAACUUCGUGCCAGCCGCCGCGGUAA